UACGGGGGGGGCAAGCGUUGUUCGGAAUUACUGGGCGUAAAGGGCUCGUAGGUGGCCAACUAAGUCAGACGUGAAAUCCCUCGGCUUAACCGGGGAACUGCGUCCGAUACUGGAUGGCUUGAGUUCGGGAGAGGGAUGCGGAAUUCCAGGUGUAGCGGUGAAAUGCGUAGAUAUCUGGAGGAACACCGGUGGCGAAGGCGGCAUCCUGGACCGAUACUGACGCUGAGGAGCGAAAGCCAGGGGAGCAAACGGG
rnacentral:rRNA from 1 species